rnacentral:lncRNA from 1 species
ACGAUUCACUGCAAACUGGGUGGCAAAGCACUGAAUGAGAAACUGCGGAGCAAAGCGGCUGGAGACAAACCGUGGCCUGCGCCUGAGGACACACGUGGGUCUGCAGCUGCUGCGCUGUCCGCGUGCGGCGGUGUGCGAUGACCUUUCCUUCCCCGGGAGCCCUCCGUGACCCCUCCACCCCACGAAGCUCCUUCGCCCCUCACCUCCAAUCGCUGCAUGUCCACCCAGGCGAGGCUGCCUGGAGCGACACUUGCCACCUGCAUCCUCCCUGUGAAAGCUCUGUCUCCCAGGCACCGAGGCCCAGGCCUGCUCCCUCCUGCCCGCGAGGCUGUAUCUGGAGGAAAAGGCCGAACGCUGUCAUCUCGGUCUCUGUCUCCGUAUUCCCCGCACGUAUGGCCACGACCC